GCCGCUAUGGUGAAAUUGGUAGACACGCU
rnacentral:tRNA from 3 species